rnacentral:rRNA from 1 species
AUUUGAAAUCUGGCACCUUCGGUGUCCGAGUUGUAAUUUGAAGAAGGUAACUUUGGAGUUGGCUCUUGUCUAUGUUCCUUGGAACAGGACGUCACAGAGGGUGAGAAUCCCGUGCGAUGAGAUGCCCAAUUCUAUGUAAAGUGCUUUCGAAGAGUCGAGUUGUUUGGGAAUGCAGCUCUAAGUGGGUGGUAAAUUCCAUCUAAAGCUAAAUAUUGGCGAGAGACCGAUAGCGAACAAGUACAGUGAUGGAAAGAUGAAAAGAACUUUGAAAAGAGAGUGAAAAAGUACGUGAAAUUGUUGAAAGGGAAGGGCUUGAGAUCAGACUUGGUAUUUUGCGAUCCUUUCCUUCUUGGUUGGGUUCCUCGCAGCUUACUGGGCCAGCAUCGGUUUGGAUGGUAGGAUAAUGACUAAGGAAUGUGGCUCUACUUCGGUGGAGUGUUAUAGCCUUGGUUGAUACUGCCUGUCUAGACCGAGGACUGCGUCUUUUGACUAGGAUGUUGGCAUAA